rnacentral:tRNA from 1 species
UUAAUUGAAACCAAAAAGAGGUAAAUUAUUGUUAAUAAUUUUAUUGAGUUUAUAGUUCCAAUUAAA